AAAUCAGUUAUGGUUCCUUUGAUCGCUCUAACGUUACUUGGAUAACUGUGGCAAUUCUAGAGCUAAUACAUGCAAACGAGCGCUGACCUCCGGGGAUGCGUGCAUUUAUCAGAUCCAAAACCCAUGCGUGGUUGCCCUCCGGGGCGCCGCGGCAGCUUUGGUGACUCUGGAUAACCUCGAGCCGAUCGCUGGCCCCCGUGGCGGCGACGUCUCAUUCGAAUGUCUGCCCUAUCAACUUUCGAUGGUACUUUCUGUGCCUACCAUGGUGACCACGGGUAACGGGGAAUCAGGGUUCGAUUCCGGAGAGGGAGCCUGAGAAACGGCUACCACAUCCAAGGAAGGCAGCAGGCGCGCAAAUUACCCACUCCCGACUCGGGGAGGUAGUGACGAAAAAUAACAAUACAGGACUCUUUCGAGGCCCUGUAAUUGGAAUGAGUACACUUUAAAUCCUUUAACGAGGAUCAAUUGGAGGGCAAGUCUGGUGCCAGCAGCCGCGGUAAUUCCAGCUCCAAUAGCGUAUCUUAAAGUUGCUGCAGUUAAAAAGCUCGUAGUUGGAUCUCGGGAUCGAGCUGACGGUCCGCC
rnacentral:rRNA from 1 species